AGUGAACGCUGGCGGUAGGCCUAACACAUGCAAGUCGAACGGCAGCACAGUAAGAGCUUGCUCUUACGGGUGGCGAGUGGCGGACGGGUGAGGUAUACAUCGGAAUCUACUUUUUCGUGGGGGAUCACGUAGGGAAAUUUACGCUAAUCCCGCAUACGACCUACGGGUGAAAGCAGGGGAUCUUCGGACCUUGCGCGUUUGGAUGAGCCGAUGUCGGAUUAGCUAGUUGGCGGGGUAAAGGCCCACCAAGGCGACGAUCCGUAGCUGGUCUGAGAGGAUGAUCAGCCACACUGGAACUGAGACACGGUCCAGACUCCUACGGGAGGCAGCAGUGGGGAAUAUUGGACAAUGGGCGCAAGCCUGAUCCAGCCAUACCGCGUGGGUGAAGAAGGCCUUCGGGUUGUAAAGCCCUUUUGUUGGGAAAGAAAAGCAGCAGGUUAAUACCCCGCUGUUCUGACGGUACCCAAAGAAUAAGCACCGGCUAACUUCGUG
rnacentral:rRNA from 1 species